rnacentral:rRNA from 1 species
CAGUCGCCGCGGUAAUACGAGGGGGGCAAGCGUUGUUCGGAAUUAUUGGGCGUAAAGGGUGCGUAGGCGGUUUGGCAAGUUUGGUGUGAAAUCUUCGGGCUCAACUCGAAGUCUGCAUCGAAAACUGCCGGGCUUGAGUAUGGGAGAGGUGAGUGGAAUUUCCGGUGUAGCGGUGAAAUGCGUAGAUAUCGGAAGGAACACCUGUGGCGAAAGCGGCUCACUGGACCAUAACUGACGCUGAUGCACGAAAGCUAGGGGAGCAAACAGGAUUAGAUACCCGCGUAGUCCCUGUCUCUUAUAC